AUCCCUGGGCCUGGGCCUACCUAGGUGAAGACAGGCAUUUUUGUUUUCCUGCCCGGAUGUUGCAUUUCCCAAGACCACCCUGGCCUGCCAUGCCCUCAUCCUGUGCCUUUAAAAACCCCCGAGACCCUGGCAGGCAGACGCACAAGCAGCUGGACAUUGAGAGGAGCAUAUAGGCAGAGAAUACAGGGGCUGCUGGAUGUCGAAAGGAACGCACCAGCAUAGGAGCACACCGGCAUGCUGGCAGGCCAUUGACCAGCGGAAGAAUGCAGAGUUUGUCGCGGGAGGUCAGAGAAGAGUCAGGCCGCCAUACCUGACUCCAGGAGAAAACCGUCUCCCUUCUGGUUCCCCCGUCUGCCGAGAGCUACUUCCACUCAAUAAAACUUUCCACUCAUUCUUCAAGCCCACGUGUGAUCCAAUUCUUCCCGUACACCAAGGUCUCGCUGUGUUUCCCAGGCUGGGUGCAGUGGCUAUUCAAAGGUACAAUGAUAGCUCACUGCAGCCUGGAACUCCUGGACUCAAGCGAUCCUCCUGCCUCAGCUGCGACUAACAGCUCCAAGUUUAGAAGACCCUACGACGUGACUCAGUAAGUGGCCUCACCUUCAUCCGAUUGCUCAGAAUUAAAACCUAGAAGUCAUCCUUGAUUUUCUCCUCUCAAAUCUGUCUCCAUUCAUCAGCACGUGCUUUUGACUCGAUGAAACGCUCCAAACACAACUGCUUCCCACCGCCUCCACUGCUGCCUCUUGUCCCUGCAGCAUCAUCUCUCACCCACAUUGGCCACAGCGGCUUGUUGUUGGUGUUCCUGCUUCUACUUUUGACUUGUUUCUAUUGUCUUCCAUGCCCACUGGAACUGUAAUUAUUUUUUGCAAAUGUAAGUUAGAUAAUGACAUUCCACUGUUAAAAAAAAAACAAAACAGAAAACAAAAUGAAAGAACAAAAUAAAAAUGUCUAGUGACCCCCUGUUACACCUAGCCGAAAAUCCUUACUUGGCCCAGAAGGGCCUAGAUUCUCAGUCUUGACUGCACAUGGGAAAUCACCUGGGGACUUGAAAAAUACUGACUUUAGCUGGGUCUGGGGAAUUGUGUGUGUGUGUAUGUGUGUGUGAGAUGGAGCUUCGCUUUUAUUGCCCGGGCUACAGUGCAAUGGCACCAUCUCAGCUCACCGCAACCUCCGCCUCCCCAGUUCAAGCCGUUCUCCUGCCUCAGCCUCCCGAGUAGGUGGGAUUACAGGCAUGCACCAUGACGCCCGGCUAAUUUUUUCUAUUUUUGGUAGAGACGGGGGUUUCUCCAUGUUGGUCAGGCUGGUCUCGAACUCCUGACCUCAGGUGAUCCACCUGCCUCGGCCUCCCAAAGUGCUGGGAUUACAGGCGUGAGCCACCGCGCCCAGCCGGCACAGGGAAUUUAAAAGCUUCCCAGAAGUUUCUGAUGUAUAACCAAGAUUGAGAGCUACUCUAGGAUCCUUCCACCACUCUCUUCCUCUCUCUAUCUCCACCCCAGUUGCUUACUUGCUGUGUUUUGAGCACACUCUGAUCCUUUCCACCCCAAAGCAUGGAUCAUUCUUGCCCCAGAUAUUUGCAUGAGCUAUUCUUUCACACAAAGAGGUCUCUGCUCAAAUGUUACCUUUUCAAAUAUAUUUUCCCCAACGAACCUACCUAAUGACUAUUUUUUUACCCUGUAUAUUUUUAGUUUUUAUAUGAAAUUAUAUUACUUGCUUCUUUACCUGUUUAUUGGUGCUCUUCCUCACAAGCAUGUAAGUGCAUGAAGAUAGACACCUUGUCUUAUUCACUAAGACAUUAUCACCCUGGCAUAUAGCGUGCUUGGAACUCAUUCUCUGAUUAGUGUUUUUCAGUGAAAAAAAUGAGGAUUACUCAAGGUUCUGGGAUCUGGAUUUGCUACAAGUAGCUAAUUGUAGCUUAUGGAUUCUCUGGUUUGUAAGGCUUUUGUUGCUUUUGUUCUAUUUGCAACCCUAGACUUUCCUUCCAGAAAUAGUCAUCUGGGCGUGGUGCCUCACACAUGUAAUCCCCAUACUGACACAGGUCGAUCACUUGAGGCCAGGAGUUCGAGAUCAGCCUGGCCGAUAUGGUGAAAUCCCCUCUCUAUUGAAAACACAAAAAACUAGCCAGGUGUAGUGGCGGGCGCCUGUAAUCCCAGCUACUCAGGAGGCUGAGGCAGGAGAAUAGCUUAAACCCAGGAGGUGGAGAUUGCAGCGAGCCCAGAUUGCCCCACUGCACUCCAGCCUGGGCGACAGAGGGAGACUUUGUCUCAAAAAAAAAAAAAAAGUCAAGGAGUCUUUUGCUUUUACUUGCUUACCUAUGCCGCUAUAUUUUACAUUCAACUUCCUUCUGAUACACAGGAAGGACUGUGUCUGCUUGGACUGGACACAGUUGGACUUUCAAGUGAGUUGGCUGGCUGUGGGUCUUUGAUUAUUCCUCUCUGUUAGAGGGGCAGAAUCCACCAUUUUCUUAGGAGAAUGGUGCAAGUGGGAAAUCCUUGUCCUAUAGGCUGAAGGCCAGUCACUUCUCUCUCUCUCUCUCUCUUUCUUUCUUUCUCUCUCUCAAUAGGGUCUCACUCUAUUCCUGGGCUGGAGUGCAGUGACACUAUCACAGUGCACCAUAGCCUCAACCUCCUGGACUCAGGUGAUCCUCCUACCUCAGUCUCCCAAGUAGCUGGGACUACAGGUAUGCGCCAUUAUUCCCAGCUAUUUUUUAUUAUCUUUUUUGUAGAGAUGGCGUUUCACCAUUUUGCCCAGGCUACUUCUCUCUCUCUUUAUUCAUGCUUCCUUUCACUUUUUGAUAUCUAAGCCUUGCCCAUCUCUUUUUCUCAGCCAGGGGGAUGGAUCUACACAUAGAGGACUUAAGCUCUAGGUACAGACCUUCCACAUACCUGUCUGCCUAUCCCUGGCUUAGGUCUGGGUCCUGGUCACUCACAAAGAGGUCCAAGAUGGGUAUAUUGCAGCUCCAAGGCAAGUAAAUGCUGCAAAUCUUUCUCCUGAAUUAGAACUUGAAUAAAGGAGGAGUCAGAGUCCAAAAUCACCCUCCAGCAUUGAGGCUGUGGGCUUACAGUGGUCGGGAGCGUCUGAGUGCUAACUCUUCCUGGCUAAAGAUUGAUUUCUCAGGAAUAGAAAAUCUCAUUCAUAUUCAUGUCGUAGGAUCUUUCAACAUGCUACGGUGCUAAUAUUAUUUCAUUAUUAUAAUCUUGGGAGUUAUUUUCCUGGUGAAGAACCAGAUGUAUGAGAGAUUAAGUUAUUGGUCUAGAGUCAUAUAGCUUGUGAGAAGAACUGAGGUUUGAACUUAUCAUUUGACUACAAGAACUGUGCAUGCUACAUUUUACCACAUUACUUUUCUAAAACUAAGAGAAAAUACAAUGAAAAAGUGAGAGAGGUGAGAAAAAAAUGGAGAAACUAAGAUGGAGAAAGAAUAAAAAGAGUGAAAUAAAUUUUACUUUGGAUUGGUGAAUAGAAACUGAUCUGGCUAUUUUAAGCAGAAAAGGAUUUUCUGUAGUGGAUUAAGUGCUAAUAAGAACAUACAUAUGAUGAUGACACAAAAGUGGGAACAGUCCUUUUUUGAAAAAGCGAAAAUAAGAAAAGUCAAAGAUGUCCUAAAUGUACAUGGCUAAAUGUUUUUUAAAAUUGGAGUGAUUCUGAAACAUAAUAUGUAAAAAAUUCUGCAACAUAUGGGCAACAGGAAAUAGGAAAAUGAUUAUGACAGAUAAAAAACAAAACUUUUUUGACUGUAUGCCAUGCAUGAAAGCUCAACAUUAAGGGAGUUUAUAAAGCCCUUACAAGAGUUUCUGCAUAUAGAGAGAGAUCAAUAAGUACUAGCUAUUAGUAUCACUAUCCUAACGUUUACCCAGGAGAAACCAUAGACUACAUAUAUCAUGUGGAAAGUGCCAACUCACACAAUUUUUGUUGCAAACUCCAGGUAGUUGACUAUUUUGAAAGUCCCUUCAAGUCUUCUAUUGUCAAGAUAAGUGACAAGGCACCCGCCUAUGGAGGGCUCCAGAUUCAAUAUUUGGUAAGGUGGCUCCAAACACAUCUGAGACAUAAGGUUGGUGGUGCCAGCCUCAAUAGAUUCUGUUCUUGCUUUUUUCUUUUUUUAAAUUAUAAGUCAUAUACUCCUUACGUCAAAUCAAACAGCAGAGAUGUAUGAAGAGAAAGUUCAGAAAUGCAGCCAAAUCAAAUUUCCCAUCUAAUUUUGCUAACGAAUGUUAAUGGCUGUAUGCCAGUCCACACAUUUCCAAUCAGUGCAUUUCAAAUUCAGGUAACGUUUGUUCAUUUUGGAAAAAGUUACAAAAUAGAAGCUAGGAGUAAAAUAGCAUGCCUUCAAAAGAAUUUCAUUUCAGAGAAUUAUUGGUGGAAAUACAAAGACAGUAAGCUUAAUUCCUUUAUGGAUAUAUGAACAAAAGGACUUAGAACAAACAAAUUACCUUUAUAGUAUUUUGUUAGUUAACUAUAAAAAUAAAUUUUUGUUGGUAUUAUUCUGGAAAAAAAAAGAAUGCUUAUUAAACAAGACUGUGAGCUCCUUAAGGAUUGGUAUUAUCAUAAAACCUAGCAAAGAACCAACCUCACCAUGUGAUGGGUAUUUUCUAAGUAUUUGUUAAAAUUUUAAAAAAGAACAUUUAAACUCCAUUAAAUGCCAGGCUUUUUGUUUCUAUAAUGUCAAUGGAGUGUUCAUUUUACUUAUUAUGAAUACUACUUUCUUCCACUAUAAUCAUUAAAAUCAGAUAAAACAUUUA
rnacentral:lncRNA from 1 species